rnacentral:lncRNA from 1 species
GGAGCGCUGGGACCCGCGGUCGCCGUCCGCGGUCCUGGGAAAGGCCGCGGAUAGAUCGGACAGUGAGGCUCCCUGUAGAGCUGUGGUUAAAUCAGUCUGCCCCGUGGCCACUCCGUAGGGCGUCCAGCUUUGUCCAGUAGGCAGCAGUGUCUGCUCAAUGCCGGGUGUAAAUAAAAAACUAUCGAAAUCAGCCAGGCUAAUGUUGCUUUCCAAAAUUAAGUGACUUGGGUGAUGUAGAAAUCGCGACUCAGAAUGUCUAGAAAGCAUGUUCGGAAUGCUUUCCAGAUCUCCACCCUUCAGCAAUUCGGUUUAUUCAAGGUUGAAACAGGGUAACAAGAUUUGUAACCUCUUAACCCUUCUACACCUCUACCAUCGACUCCCUGAUCUCGAAUCGUCACGGAUUCGACCAUGAAGCAUUCACGAUGGAGCAAACUUUACCUUGAAUUCUUCCAAGAUGAAUUUGAGCCUGCGUGCUUGGGGGUAAAAACGUGGCUGACAUGUCUAAACAAAAUAUAUGGUCAUUUUCAUCUCUGACUGGAACUUGAAUUGGCUUCAGCAAGAACCAGCUCACACCUAAGUCAUCAGCAAGACUCUUGCAGAUUUCUUCUGGAGAGACAGAAAUAUCUGCAGCCAGGAGGACGGCUGUUGGAGGAAUUCAGGAGCAUUCGACGGAGUCUCCUGGAGUCAGGGAGUGGUCAGUUUUACACAUCCUCCUUAGGACCUCACAGGCAAGAACAGCAGGAUCUGCUUCCUUCAUGAAACCUUGGUUCUGUUUUAUCCAUUGACAGUCCUUCAGGAUACCUAACCUGUCCAGAAAUCAAGGCCUUUGCCUUCCCCACAGAGAUAACUCGGACAUGCCGAGGGAUCCCCUUUACAUCCUUGCGCUCAAGUGGAUUCAGUGUCACAGUUCAGGCGCUU